UAAUAAUGAAAAUAACAUAAGGUUAUUUAAUUUUAAUGUGACAAAUGUGCACGAUUUUCUUUGCACAACUUUGUAAAAUCUGGUUGCUUUUUGAUCAGCUUCAGUCUCAAGUCAUCUUUGUGUUGAAGUCGGUGAUGAUGAUUAGUUUUCAUGUUUGUUGUGGCUGAAAAUCCGCUCUCGCAGAGGAUGGUAUAUUGUCUGGAAACUGUUCUUAUCUCGAUUUAAAUUUGUUAGAGAAUUAUUAAUGGCUAGCAAUGGAGCAAGCGAGGAAGAACAAA